GAGAACUGAUAACCCGAUGGACGGAAUGAGGCGGUAACGUGCUGAAACGUCCACACUGAUCCUCCGAUUGGCGGUUCCGCAUACAAGUGCGGGACGGUCAAAAGCUCGGUAAAGUCGGCAGAACAUACCCGCAGGCGUGGCUUCUCAUGCCGGGUAAGGAUAUGCCGGGUGUCGGAUAC
rfam:Lachnoclostridium sp. YL32, complete genome.